UCAGAAGGCAGAACUUUUGGGGCAUCUCUGCCAUGGCCUGGGCUCUGCUCCUCCUCACUCUCCUCUCUCAGGGGACAGGGUCCUGGGCCCAGGCUGCCCUCACUCAGCUGCCGUCCGUGUCCGGGAAUCUGGGACAGUCGGUCACCAUCUCCUGUGUCGGAAGCAGCAAUGACAUUGGGCGUUAUAACUACGUCUCCUGGUACCAACAGCGCCCGGGCACGGCCCCCAAACUCCUGAUUUCCUACGUGAAUGCUCGGCGCUCGGGGGUCCCCGAGCGCUUCUCUGGCUUCAAGUCCAGCAACACGGCCUUCCUCCUCAUCUCCGGGCUGCAGGCCGAGGACGAGGCCGAUUAUCACUGCUGCUCCUAUGUGGGCAGCAACACUCCCCACGGCGCUGCGGGCUCAUGGGGAAGUGAGACCAAAACCCGCCCGGGCUCCCAGGCGCCCUCCUUGCUCUGA